rnacentral:rRNA from 6 species
ACACUGUACAAUGGAUUUCUCGGCUCCCACAUCGAUGAAGAACGCAGCAAAGCGCGAUAGGUAGUGUGAAUUGCAGAAUACCGUGAAUCAUCGAAUUUUUGAACGCAUAUUGCGCCCGGGUUUGAGCCUGGGCAUGUCUGCCUCAGCGUCGAUUU